rfam:Haemonchus contortus, ISE/inbred ISE, WGS project CAVP01000000 data, contig: Hcontortus_46282
GCCGCCAUAGCUCAGUUGGUUAGAGCGUGGGUCUAAUAAGCCCAAGGUCGCAGGUUCGACCCCUGCUGGCGGCA